AGAGAUCAGACUAUACUUUAUUUUAUUUUGUGUCGCAAAAACAUUAAAAUUGAUAAUACAAGAUUUGAGACAGUACAAAGACAGGUAAUAUUAGUUGGAUGUUUCUUCGUUUUUUUUCUUUUAUUAUUUAAGGAUUCUUAUAACACAGUGUUUAGUUUAGUUUAGUGUAUAGCGAAUCAUGCAGAAAAUAUUGCAUGAGAUUUCGCAUAAACAAAAUAAAUUACCUUAUUAAUAUUAUACCGUAAAAUAAUCUUUACUAUACUGUUACGUGUAGAAAUC
rnacentral:lncRNA from 1 species